rnacentral:rRNA from 1 species
UACAGAGGGGGCAAGCGUUGCUCGGAAUUACUGGGCGUAAAGGGCGCGUAGGCGGGAUGGCAAGUCGGUCGUGAAAUCCUUCGGCUCAACCGAAGAACGUCGAUCGAUACUGCUGUUCUUGAGGGUUGCAGAGGAGACUGGAAUUCCCGGUGUAGCGGUGAAAUGCGCAGAUAUCAGGAGGAACACCGAUGGCGAAGGCAGGUCUCUGGGCCGAUACUGACGCUGAGGAGCGAAAGCGUGGGGAGCGAACAGG